rnacentral:rRNA from 1 species
AUUGAACGCUGGCGGCAUGCCUUACACAUGCAAGUCGAACGGCAGCACGGGUGCUUGCACCUGGUGGCGAGUGGCGAACGGGUGAGUAAUACAUCGGAACAUGUCCUGUAGUGGGGGAUAGCCCGGCGAAAGCCGGAUUAAUACCGCAUACGAUCCACGGAUGAAAGCGGGGGACCUUCGGGCCUCGCGCUAUAGGGUUGGCCGAUGGCUGAUUAGCUAGUUGGUGGGGUAAAGGCCUACCAAGGCGACGAUCAGUAGCUGGUCUGAGAGGACGACCAGCCACACUGGGACUGAGACACGGCCCAGACUCCUACGGGAGGCAGCAGUGGGGAAUUUUGGACAAUGGGCGAAAGCCUGAUCCAGCAAUGCCGCGUGUGUGAAGAAGGCCUUCGGGUUGUAAAGCACUUUUGUCCGGAAAGAAGUCCUUGGCUCUAAUACAGUCGGGGGAUGACGGUACCGGAAGAAUAAGCACCGGCUAACUACGUG